UACGAAGGGGGCUAGCGUUGUUCGGAAUUACUGGGCGUAAAGCGCACGUAGGCGGAUAUUUAAGUCAGGGGUGAAAUCCCGGGGCUCAACCCCGGAACUGCCUUUGAUACUGGGUAUCUCGAGUCCGAGAGAGGUGAGUGGAAUUCCGAGUGUAGAGGUGAAAUUCGUAGAUAUUCGGAGGAACACCAGUGGCGAAGGCGGCUCACUGGCUCGGUACUGACGCUGAGGUGCGAAAGCGUGGGGAGCAAACAGG
rnacentral:rRNA from 4 species